rnacentral:tRNA from 1 species
CUCUCGGUAGCCAAGUUGGUUUAAGGCGCAGACUGUAAUUUG